GCCUGUAAUCUCAGCACUUUGGGAGGCCGAGGCGGGCAGAUCACCUGAGGUCGGGAGUUGGAGACCAGCCUGGCCAACAUGGUGAAACCCCAUCUCUACUAAAAGUACAAAAAUUACCCGGGCCCGGUGGCAGGCACCUGUCGUCCCAGCUACUCGGGAGGCUGAGGUAGGAGAAUCGCUUGAACCUGGGAGGUGGAGGCUGCAGUGAGCUGUGAUGGGGUCAUUGUGCUCCAGCCUGGGUGACAGAGCCAGACUCCCUCUUGUAUUAUUGAGAGAAUGUGUGUGAAGUGUACAGCAAGUAUUUAAUAAACAGCAGCUAAUGAUCACCGUGGUCCCAGCUCUCAGUUAGGAGCUGUGAGGCCUUCCAAGUGUCAUUGAAUGGCACUGAGCCCCCAUCGUUUCCAUAGAUAAGGUGAAGGAGUGGGAGAAGUGGCUUCGUGUCAGAUUCCCUGCCACUGUACUUGGUUUCCUACACAAUGUUCUCUGGGUUGUUUUUAUUUUUUUUUUUUUUUUUUUUUUUUUUGCCGUGUUAGGAAAUUAUUUAAAUUUAUUUGCAAGACAGGUUUUAACUUAACUCAGCCAAGGUGGGAAAUGGCGUCCCCAUCCCUCCCAAAGCACAGAGCACAGAAAUGAGGCCGUUUACAUUGCAGGUCUGCGCGCUGGUGUUUAAGUCAUUAAAAAGAUACUGGAAGAGAAUUGCCUGAUACGUCCUUGGCGUGGGUCAACUGGGGAAGUGGGAGGUGGGUGGAUCCAUCCAUGGCAUUGGUCCAAGUGAACAGAGAGCCCUAGGGCCACCUCCCCUAGCCAGAGGGGUUUCUAUGUUAUAUACUGGGGCUUAUUUUAUUUUAUUAUUAUUUUUUUGAGACAGAGUUUUGCCCUGUCACCCAGGCUGGAGUGCAAUGGCGUGAUCUCGGCUCACUGCAACUUCUGCCUCCCGGGUUCAAACGAUUCUCCUGCCUCAGCCUCCUGAGUAACAGAUUACAGGCACCUGCCACCAUGCCCAGCUAAUUUUUGUAUUUUCCGUAGACGCAGGUUUUGCCAUGUUGGCCAGGCUGGUCUCAAACUCCUGGACUCAUGCGAUCUUCCCACCUCGGUCUCCCAAAGUGCUAAGAAUACAAGCAUG
rnacentral:lncRNA from 1 species